UCGAGGAUCUUCGGCAAUGGGCGCAAGCCUGACCGAGCGACGCCGCGUGUGCGAUGAAGGCCUUCGGGUUGUAAAGCACUGUCGAGAGAGAGGAAGCCCGCAAGGGUUGACCGACCUCUGGAGGAAGCACGGGCUAAGUUCGUGCCAGCAGCCGCGGUAAGACGAACCGUGCAAACGUUGUUCGGAAUCACUGGGCUUAAAGGGCGCGUAGGCGGGUCAUCAAGUCUGUGGUGAAAUCCUCCAGCUUAACUGGAGAAGGGCCGUGGAUACUGGUGAUCUUGAGGGAGGUAGGGGCAUGUGGAACUUCCGGUGGAGCGGUGAAAUGCGUAGAUAUCGGAAGGAACGCCGGUGGCGAAAGCGACGUGCUGGACCUCUUCUGACGCUGAGGCGCGAAAGCCAGGGGAGCAAACGGGAUUAGAUACCCCCGUAGUCC
rnacentral:rRNA from 1 species